rnacentral:lncRNA from 1 species
GAGUGAGCACAGACAUAAGAUUUCAAGGAAUAAGGAGGAGUAAACCACAGUCAGUGCUACUGGCAACAAGAAAAGAUUGACUCAUGAUAUGAAAGUCCAAGCUGAAGGCGGAGAGGGAUGUUUGACUUCUCAGUAGUUGUUCACACUUACACAUUGUAGAAUAAUUUAUUAACUUACAUUUAUAUUUAAAGAAGAUUAAAUGUCUGGAUAAUUUGAAGGAAAAUAAAAUUUUGGAUUUUCAAGAGAAACAUUAUAACUACAAGAUAUGGAUAUUUAAGA